AUACGGAGGGUGCAAGCGUUGUUCGGAUUCACUGGGCGUAAAGCGCGUGUAGGCGGCUUGGCAAGUCGGUUGUGAAAGCCCGGGGCCCAACCCCGGAAUUGCAAUCGAAACUGCCUGGCUAGAGUCCCGGAGAGGAAGGCAGAAUUCCCGGUGUAGGGGUGAAAUCCGUAGAUAUCGGGAGGAAUACCAGUGGCGAAGGCGGCCUUCUGGACGGUGACUGACGCUGAGACGCGAAAGCGUGGGGAGCAAACAGGAUUAGAUACCCCAGUAGUCC
rnacentral:rRNA from 1 species